CAGUCGCCGCGGUAAUACAGAGGGUGCGAGCGUUAAUCGGAUUUACUGGGCGUAAAGCGCACGCAGGCGGUCUGACAAGUCAGAUGUGAAAUCCCCGGGCUUAACCUGGGAACUGCAUUUGAAACUGUCAGGCUGGAGUCUUGUAGAGGGGGAUGGAAUUCCGCGUGUAGCAGUGAAAUGCGUAGAUAUGCGGAGGAACACCGAUGGCGAAGGCAAUCCCCUGGGCCUGUACUGACGCUCAUGCACGAAAGCGUGGGGAGCAAACAGGAUUAGAUACCCCUGUAGUCCCUGUCUCUUAUAC
rnacentral:rRNA from 1 species